AGAGGAGUCAGGCGCGUAUGCGGCACAGAGAGACGAUGUGUACGCCGUUGGGCUCUGCAGAGUG